GCUGGGUGUGGUGGCGCACACCUGUAAUCCCAACUACUCAGGAGGCUGAGGCAGGAGAAUCGCUUGAACCCAGGAGGCGGAGGUUGCAGUGAGCCAAGAUCACACCACUGCACUCCAGCCUGGGUGACAGAGUGACAUUCCAUCUCUA
ensembl:misc_RNA Metazoa_SRP Metazoan signal recognition particle RNA